CAAAUUUUAAACCACUUCAUAUUCUUUUUUUUUUAUGUUGACAAAGUCUGCAAACUGGACUGACUGUUGUCUCAACACCUGUGCAUUCCUUCCCCACUGAUUUAAAGUACCAUGUGCUUCAUGGGGCAUCUGGGUGGGCAUUCUUACACUGAAUGAACCAGUGUGCUGCAUCAAAAAUUGAUAAAAAUAUAACAGAAGAAACAGUGAAGAUGUUGUUCUCAAACAUUGAAGAUAUCCUUGCUGUACCUACUCCCUUUUUGAAAGU